UGAGGAACAUGACCUUCGGCGGGGGAUAGCCGGCCCAACGGCCGGGUAAUACCGCGUACGACCACAUGGGGACAUCCCUGAGUGGUGAAAGCAGCAAUGCGCCGAUGGAGUGCCUCGCGGCCUAUCAGCUAGUUGGUGAGGUAACGGCUCACCAAGGCGACGACGGGUAGCUGGUCUGAGAGGAUGGCCAGCCCACAUUGGGGACGGAGACACGGCCCAGACUCCGUAGGGACGG
rnacentral:rRNA from 1 species